ACACCUCAACCCUCCAAUGUUUUUGCAUUGCAGGUGUUGGUAGUGAGCGCUGCAGGUCUUUGGACCGGCUCGCUUUAAAAUCAUUAGCUGGAUCCAUUCUGACCUGGUUCUACUCGGCGUAAUAAGUUAUUAUCGUCGAGGACGUCUGGCCUUGUAGGCAGGGCGGCCACAGUAAGGGUGUUUGAACCGCUUCCAACGCGUCUUGCUUUUGUAGCAAACACUUGAAC
rnacentral:misc_RNA from 1 species